rnacentral:rRNA from 1 species
GUUCAUAACCCUUUGUUGUCCGACUCUGUUGCCUCCGGGGCGACCCUGCCUUCGGGCGGGGGCUCCGGGUGGACACUUCAAACUCUUGCGUAACUUUGCAGUCUGAGUAAACUUAAUUAAUAAAUUAAAACUUUUAACAACGGAUCUCUUGGUUCUGGCAUCGAUGAAGAACGCAGCGAAAUGCGAUAAGUAAUGUGAAUUGCAGAAUUCAGUGAAUCAUCGAAUCUUUGAACGCACAUUGCGCCCCCUGGUAUUCCGGGGGGCAUGCCUGUUCGAGCGUCAUUUCACCACUCAAGCCUCGCUUGGUAUUGGGCAACGCGGUCCGCCGCGUGCCUCAAAUCGACCGGCUGGGUCUUCUGUCCCCUAAGCGUUGUGGAAACUAUUCGCUAAAGGGUGUUCGGGAGGCUACGCCGUAAAACAACCCCAUUUCUAAGGUUGACCUCGGAUCAGGUAGGGAUACCCGCUGAACUUAAGCAUAUCAAUAAGCG